UUUACUCUCUUCUAUAAAAUGACCCUGUUUUGUGACCCUAGUUUGGAGAAACCCAGUUGUUUACCAAUUUGAAACUUUUUAAGAAUGGGAUUUGUACGAGGACCUUACUAGCAAACAACCCUGAGCCUAAAUGGGAUUUGAUUAUAUUGACCAUCAUUUAGGCUGAGGGCAGAACUGAAAUGACCUUAUCUAUUUUCUUCAUUUAUACUGCUAGGUUUAAGAGUUUUCCUAAUUAUAUCAUGAUAUUAAGGACCCUGGAGUCGGCUUUUUGGGACAUCAUUUCUAUAAUGACAAAGGUGACAAUAUAUUCUAGACAGCAGGCAAAGAAGAAACAAUGAUGUGGAUGAUCUGAGACAAUGCAGCUUCUGAAGUGGUUGGAAAACCCAUCAACUAUGAUGUAUCGAAGACCCAUCCAUUUAGCAUUGCAGCCUUUAUUCUCCUCCAAAAGUAUGAAAUGAGAGAUACAUCCAAAUGGAACACAAUAAGGAACAAACAACUUCUGAAAAAAAUCACCCUAUACAGUAAAUAAACCUAAAGAAGAAGACUGAUAGAAGCAUGUCACUUUUAGAAGAAAAGAGCAACCAAGAGGAAAGCCCCUACUAUCUACCCUAGUAUCCAGUGAAGCCCCUCUGGAACUGAACAAUUUCUUUCAUAGCCUCCCCCUGGAAGAAAAUAUGCAGACACCCAUAAAAGAGCAGUCACCAAUAGUUUCUGAAAAGGAAACACAACCCAGCAUUCAUGUGACAGGAAGAAUAGUAUCCCAGUCUUCCCUAGGGAAAAAAAAGGUGAAUAUUGGUGAUAGGAGAUUCAAUUAUUUGAGGAACAAAAACUAUAGUCUGCAGAUCAAACAGUCAAUCUAGAGAGAUAUGUCAUCUCCCUGGAACAAAAAUCAAAGAUGUAACUGAGAACCUUACUAAAAUAAUCAAACUAAAAUUACUGGUGGUAAAAAUAAGUGAAACCCACCUCUGAUUACUAACCCUUUCUUCUCCUACAUGGGGGGACCAAUAAUACAACAAUGAAUCUAAAAACAAUAACAAGAGAAUACAAACAGCUAGGGAAGAAAGUUAAAGAAUUAGGAGCUCAAGUGGUGUUUUCAUCUAUACUUCCAACAAAAGGCCAACCUCCAAUUAGGGAGCAAAGGAUUUUACAAACAAACCACUGUCUUAAAAACUGGUGUUGUCAAGAGAACUUCCAUGGUCUGCAUUUCCUAUAUAAAGGUCUAACUUGCAACCUCA